rnacentral:rRNA from 1 species
UACCCGCUGAGUUUAAGCAUAUCAAUAAGCGGAGGAAAAGAAAC